rnacentral:rRNA from 1 species
UACGUAGGGGGCGAGCGUUGUCCGGAUUUAUUGGGCGUAAAGAGCGUGUAGGCGGUUCGGUAAGUCUGUCGUGAAAUCCUGAGGCUCAACCUCGGGCGUGCGAUGGAUACUGCCGGGCUAGAGGGUGGUAGAGGCGAGUGGAAUUCCCGGUGUAGCGGUGAAAUGCGCAGAUAUCGGGAGGAACACCAGUAGCGAAGGCGGCUCGCGGGGCCACACCUGACGCUGAGACGCGAAAGCUAGGGGAGCGAACAGG